rnacentral:rRNA from 1 species
GACGAACGCUGGCGGCGUGCUUAACACAUGCAAGUCGAACGGAAAGGCCCUGCUUUUGUGGGGUGCUCGAGUGGCGAACGGGUGAGUAACAUGUGAGUAACCUGCCCUUGACUUUGGGAUAACUUCAGGAAACUGGGGCUAAUACCGGAUAGGAGCUCCUGCUGCAUGGUGGGGGUUGGAAAGUUUCGGCGGUUGGGGAUGGACUCGCGGCUUAUCAGCUUGUUGGUGGGGUAGUGGCUUACCAAGGCUUUGACGGGUAGCCGGCCUGAGAGGGUGACCGGCCACAUUGGGACUGAGAUACGGCCCAGACUCCUACGGGAGGCAGCAGUGGGGAAUAUUGCACAAUGGGCGGAAGCCUGAUGCAGCAACGCCGUGUGCGGGAUGACGGCCUUCGGGUUGUAAACCGCUGUCGCCUGUGACGAAGCGUGAGUGACGGUAAUGGGUAAAGAAGCACCGGCUAACUACGUG